AAUGGUGGUCGUGUCACUCACUAACUUAAUACCAAAGCAAUGGAAACACCCUCUCACUUUCUUACUCUAUAAAUACACAAACUUCACUUCACAAUUAUCACAACUCCCCUUCUUCCUCUAUCAUAUAUACCUACACACUUCUUCCUCCAUAUUUCUAUAACCUUUCCACUUCUCUAAACUUCAUUUCGUAUGCAUCAUAUUGAUAGUAAUAGCUCACUCACCUUCUUCCUCUAUAUCAUAUACAUAUGCUUAAUUUGCUCUAUAUAUCAUUUUUCUAUAGAUAUACCUACAUACUUCUUCCUUCAUAUUUAUAUAACCUUCCAUCUACUCCAUCAAUCUACAAGUCUAAAAAAAUAUUUUCAUUUAUAUUAAGACCAAACACUCCACCACUAUCAUAAAAAAAUCCAUGACAUAUCCAUCUCUUCUAGUUCCAUCUACACUAAAAACCUCUUGUUACAUAUAAAAAUCUUUCGCUCAACAAUGCUAUAUAAUUUGUGUGUAUUUUGUAGUUUUAAUAUAUCAUCAACACUCAUUCAUUUCUUUUUAUUUGACAGACAGAGGA
rnacentral:lncRNA from 1 species